ACCCUCAGAAUGAUGGUGUACCCAUCGCCAAAUCUGGAGGAAGAUGAGCAAGAAAUAUGCGUCAAAUCUAGAAAUGCCCAGAAAGAAACUAAUGUGCUGGACACUACCCAGACAGCGGAACCUGCCGUUCACCAUGAUGGCCAUCCUGGUACACAGCGCUUCACAUUCUUCCAUGCUAGGAGUGGACAGGACACGGUUUACAGACAUUCACCCAAGGAGGCACAAGACUUAGAGCCAGUUAUGUAAGUGUGUUUGUGUGUUUGAGGAAAUGCACAUACCAGGAAGACCACUGGAGGGGCUCCAAUGAGUGAUAUGGCGGUGGAGAGUUUGCGCAUGUUGCCGCCACUGUAGCUUCCUGCGUUUUUGUCCACGUACUUCACUAGACCCAGUUUACGGAUUCCCCACUCUGCAACCUGCCAGAGCGUCAGCCAUGGCCUGAUUCUUCACCAUGUCGAUGAGACCUCGACCCAGGCAGAAGUGCGGGAAGAUGAGCAAAACGUUCUUCAGGAUGUCGUUAAUGCCACCAAUCUCCUGUGGAAGAGGAUGAGAGGUGUCAGAAUUACUUACCCCUCAACAACACAAAUAGCAGGACUGCAUUAGGAUGAAACCAAAAAAGUAUUUUCUCACAUUGUUUCCAAAUAACUCCAUGACAAAUGUGGAGACGCUCCCAUUGAUCCCAAUGAGAAUGUUGACGCUAGUGAGAACCACAUAAGCGGUGCUGGGGAUUUUGAAGAGGAAAGAAGCCGGGUACAUGAGAGGAGUGAUGGACCAUCUGAGGAGAGACAAAAAUAAUUAUUCAUCAUGAGGGGAAAUGCUUUGCACAUUGGCAGUGUAUUCUGACCCCAUGUCAGGUCGUAAUCAGUCUAUCUUGGAGACAGAUUUUGCAAAAACAAACACAAAGUAUUUCUUUUUCUAUUUUUUUAUUCCAUUUCUUUUAUAAUUGCUAUCUAACAUACUUUACAAUUUCAUUCUACCCACCCACCCCCAUGUUCUUUUUUUAAUUAUUUUUUAUUUAACAUUUUCUACUAAAAACAUACUUUAUAAUUUAUAAUAUAUUACACGUCUAUGAUGAAUGUAGUUCUAAUGUAGAGUCAAUUUAUGGGAUAUUAUGAAGUAUACCUAUAAGUUAUCGCCUUGUUGAGGUAAUUAAACUAGCUUCAUAUGAAUGUCUUUAUCUGUCUUACCCAUAUAGAAGCAAAAGAAGAGCAAGAACAGGCAAGUUGGUGGCGGAGACGUAGGCUUUUUGUUGGAAGCAGACAAAGAUCAGGAUCACCAGAGUCGCAGGAACGACAUAAUUGCACUAAAACAGAAAGCAGACAAAAAUAAGAUUAGAGGAUUUGGGUCAGCAGCCAAGUAGGUGAGUGCAUUAAGGCAUAUGAAAGCAAAACCAGACACUCACCAUAUCCCAAAGAAAAUUGGCCAGCCAAUAGAGGUAUGGCUGAACUCCGCUGAUAAACUGCAUAUGCUUGGCCUUAUUCACUCGUUCCUGAAUAAGAAAGACAACAAAGCUGGCGGGAACGAAGGACAUAGCGAAGAUCACACAAAUGGAAACCAGCACGUCCACUGAAGUGGUCAUCCUGAAAUGGCAUAAAUCAGAGUUGAGAGAUUAGAAAAACAUGAUCGUCCUUAAGAAAUGUUAUUUAAAUGUAAUCAAUCUUUCAAUGCUUACAGGGCCACUUGAGAAAGCUGUUCUUUGGUCAGAUUGAGCGGAUGGUUGAACGCCGUGAUGCCAAACUGACGGGGGUCUUUACCAGGUGGGAUUAAGAGCCAGGCUGGGAUAUUUUCCAAAUGGUGGCACAAUUAGACUGAAUACUAGAGCGAUGCACACAAACACAGCGGGAAGAACGAUCUGCAAAGAGAAUCAAAGUCUGAUAAAGGCACUCACAUGCUGAAGAGGACGUUGUGUUGUGGACACACUCCGAGGCUCCGCCUGAUGGAACUCAGCUCUGAGCGAAUGUCUUUGCCCAUGAUAUACGCAGUGCCAGAGGUGGGAGGGAAAAGCCCAGUUAGGAUGGACCUAAAAACAUUGAAGGGUUAGAUAUAAUAACCAAAAGAAUGUGAACUUACAUGGUAGUAGUUUUUCCAGCUCCAUUGUGACCUAGAAAGGAGGUUAUCUGCCCCUCAUAGAAGCCAAGUGUCAAGCCAUCGACUGCUAGCUUUUUUCCGUGACGGUAGACCUUCACAAGAUUCUCAAUGUAAACUCCCAGUUCAAGUAAGAUUUAGUGAAGGGGAAGUACCAUGGCCUGGGAAUGCCAUACUGCCCUGGGAAUACGGUCUCAAUGUACCAGGUCAUGACCCCAUACAAGAAGGAAUCAAAGUACAUGAGGAUGAGGCAGGUGGUGAGGCUGUAUUUGUCGUCUUCUAAUGGGCUGGAGAAGAGGUUAUUCCAUUGGAUGCCCACACCCUGCUCCUCGAACAGUGCAAAAUACUCACAACCAAACCCAAACGCCACUGGAGACAGUAAGCUCUGUGGAGACAACCAAAUUGGGCGUGGUCGUAACUCACAGCGAUGACUUUGGCGGUGAAGCCCACGUAGUCUUGCCAAGCCACGCACAGCACAUAAGGCAGGUAGAGGGUAAAGUAGAUAAUGCCGCCGCAGGCCGCUGCCAGGUUGGCACGUGCGAACGCAGUACUGAUUAGGAAACACUGCAUGAUGGUUACCACAGCGAAUGACCCGAGGAAGAGAAAGACUACGCCAGGGUCACUGUAGGGCAGGAGAUUUCCCAUCUGAAAAGUUUGUACUGAAAGUGUAUUUUGGACCUUGAACCAUUUGGU